UACGUAGGGUGCGAGCGUUAAUCGGAAUUAUUGGGCGUAAAGGGCGCGUAGGCGGCCAUGCGUGUCUUCCGUGAAAUCCCUCGGCUUAACUGAGGACGUGCGGAAGAAACUGCAAGGCUCGAGUCCGGGAGAGGGGGGUGGAAUUCCCAGUGUAGCGGUGAAAUGCGUAGAUAUUGGGAGGAACACCGGUGGCGAAGGCGGCCCCCUGGACCGGUACUGACGCUGAGGAGCGAAAGCGUGGGGAGCGAACAGG
rnacentral:rRNA from 1 species